rnacentral:rRNA from 1 species
CCAAUAGCGUAUAUUAAAGUUGUUGCAGUUAAAAAGCUCGUAGUUGAAUUUCGGGGUUAGUAGGUUGGUCAUGCCUCUGGUAUGUACUGGUCUCACUGAUUCCUCCUUCCUGAUGAACCGUAAUGCCAUUAAUUUGGUGUUGCGGGGAAUCUGGACUGUUACUUUGAAAAAAUUAGAGUGUUUAAAGCAGGCUAACGCUUGAAUACAUUAGCAUGGAAUAAUGAAAUAGGACGUUCGAUCCUAUUUUGUUGGUUUCUAGGAUUGACGUAAUGAUUAAUAGGGAUAGUUGGGGGCAUUAGUAUUCAAUUGUCAGAGGUGAAAUUCUUGGAUUUAUUGAAGACUAACUACUGCGAAAGCAUUUGCCAAGGAUGUUUUCAUUAAUCAAGAACGAAAGUUAGGGGAUCGAAGACGAUCAGAUACCGUCGUAGUCUUAACCAUAAACUAUGCCGACUAGGGAUCGGAUGAUGUUAAUUUUUUAAUGACUCAUUCGGCGCCUUACG